CAGACCUCUAAUCGGAAAAGACUACCCGCUGAGUUUAAGCAUAUCACUAAGCGGAGGAGAAGAAACUAACCAGGAUUUCCCUAGUAACGGCGAGCGAACCGGAAAGAGCCCAGCUUGAAAAUCGUGGUGCCUCGUACCUCGAAUUGUAGUCUGGAGAAGGUCCCUCUGCGCCGCGCCGGACCCAAGUUCCCUGGAAAGGGACGUCAUCGAGGGUGACAACCCCGUCCGCGCCCGGAACGCGUCGCUCCACGAGGACCUGUCUGCGAGUCGGGCUGUUUGGGAAUGCAGCCCUAAGCGGGAGGUAAAUUCCUUCCAAGGCUAAAUAUGGGCAAGAGACCGAUAGCGAACAAGUACCG
rnacentral:rRNA from 2 species